rnacentral:rRNA from 1 species
UACGUAGGGUGCAAGCGUUGUCCGGAUUUAUUGGGCGUAAAGAGCUCGUAGGCGGUUUGUCGCGUCUGCUGUGAAACCCGAGGCUCAACCUCGGGCCUGCAGUGGGUACGGGCAGACUAGAGUGCGGUAGGGGAGAUUGGAAUUCCUGGUGUAGCGGUGGAAUGCGCAGAUAUCAGGAGGAACACCGAUGGCGAAGGCAGAUCUCUGGGCCGUAACUGACGCUGAGGAGCGAAAGCAUGGGGAGCGAACAGG